GUCUACAGCCAAACCACCCUGGACACACCUGAUCUCAUCUGCUCUCAGAAGCUAAGCAGGGUUGGACCUGGUUAGUGCUUGGACAGGAGAACUUGAAAGGAGAGGGGGAGAUAGCGA
rnacentral:rRNA from 1 species